rnacentral:lncRNA from 1 species
CAUGAGAAUCCCUGAUCAGCAAGAAAGGCAAACAAGUGUGCACUGGUGAAGUAUGUAUUCUCGCCCGUUGCACCACUCAUUCUUGCAAGGCUGCACUGACCGAGUCGAGACAACGCACAUAUAUACACUUCCUCGUGCUCGUGUAGUACAAUACUCCAUCAUACUAGAUGUUAGAUCAAACUCAAAUUAGUGCCAAUCGCGCAUGCAGUGAUGAAAACAACUCCACCAAAUUUUAAUUGUGUGU